CUACGGGUUGCAGCAGUGAGGAAUAUUGCACAAUGGGCGCAAGCCUGAUGCAGCCAUGCCGCGUGUAUGAAGAAGGCCUUCGGGUUGUAAAGUACUUUCAGCGGGGAGGAAGGGAGUAAAGUUAAUACCUUUGCUCAUUGACGUUACCCGCAGAAGAAGCACCGGCUAACUCCGUGCCAGCAGCCGCGGUAAUACGGAGGGUGCAAGCGUUAAUCGGAAUUACUGGGCGUAAAGCGCACGCAGGCGGUUUGUUAAGUCAGAUGUGAAAUCCCCGGGCUCAACCUGGGAACUGCAUCUGAUACUGGCAAGCUUGAGCCUCGUAGAGGGGGGUAGAAUUCCAGGUGUAGCGGUGAAAUGCGUAGAGAUCUGGAGGAAUACCGGUGGCGAAGGCGGCCCCCUGGACGAAGACUGACGCUCAGGUGCGAAAGCGUGGGGAGCAAACAGGAUUAGAUACCCGAGUAGUC
rnacentral:rRNA from 1 species